UAUUGCACAAUGGGGGAAACCCUGAUGCAGCGACGCCGCGUGAGUGAAGAAGUAUUUCGGUAUGUAAAGCUCUACCAGCAGGGAAGAAAGUGACUGUACCCACAGAAUAAGCCUCGGCUAACUACGUGCCAGCAGCCGCGGUAAUACGUAGGAGGCAAGCGUUAUCCGGAAUGACUGGGCGUAAAGGGUGCGUAGGUGGUUUGGCAAGUUAGUAGCGUAAUUCCGGGGCUCAACUUCGGAACUACUACUAAAACUGCUGGGCUUGAGUGCAGGAGGGGCAUAUGGAAUUCCUAGUGUAGCGGUGGAAUGCGUAGAUAUUAGGAGGAACACCAGUGGCGAAGGCGAUAUGCUGGACUGUAACUGACACUGAGGCACGAAAGCGUGGGGAGCAAACAGG
rnacentral:rRNA from 1 species